rnacentral:misc_RNA from 1 species
CCUAAAAGAUACGUGUUAUGUGUAGUGCUCACACAGAUUGUCUGAUGAAGAACGAGAAAAGCGCGUCUGCGAAGCUGACAAGAGUCCCCUUCGUCUAGAGGCCUAGGACACCGCCCUUUCACGGCGGUAACAGGGGUUCGAAUCCCCUAGGGGACGCCAAUGCGCGGUAUGAGUGAAAGGCGUACCACACUAUAGUCUGAUGCAAAUCAGAGAAUAGUUAAGAUAAUUUUAGCAAGUUAUUUUAACUAUUAUGCUCUUUAACAAUCUGGAACAAGCUGAAAAAUUGAAAACAAAUCAAUAUAUCACCGAGGUAUAUUGAUGAGUCUCUCAAAAUCUCAGACCUUGAAGUGUGAAACUCCAAGACAAUUGUCUUUGAGAGAAACACCUUCGGGUUGUGA